rnacentral:rRNA from 1 species
AUUGAACGCUGGCGGCAGGCCUAACACAUGCAAGUCGAGCGGCAGCGGAAAGUAGCUUGCUACUUUGCCGGCGAGCGGCGGACGGGUGAGUAAUGUCUGGGAAACUGCCUGAUGGAGGGGGAUAACUACUGGAAACGGUAGCUAAUACCGCAUAACGUCGCAAGACCAAAGAGGGGGACCUUCGGGCCUCUUGCCAUCAGAUGUGCCCAGAUGGGAUUAGCUAGUAGGUGGGGUAACGGCUCACCUAGGCGACGAUCCCUAGCUGGUCUGAGAGGAUGACCAGCCACACUGGAACUGGGACACGGUCCAGACUCCUACGGGAGGCAGCAGUGGGGAAUAUUGCACAAUGGGCGCAAGCCUGAUGCAGCCAUGCCGCGUGUAUGAAGAAGGCCUUCGGGUUGUAAAGUACUUUCAGCGGGGAGGAAGGUGUUGAGGUUAAUAACCUCAGCAAUUGACGUUACCCGCAGAAGAAGCACCGGCUAACUCCGUGCCAGCAGCCGCAGUAA